GUGCACCCGGUGAUAGGUAUGGAGACAACUGUAGCAAGUACUGUAACUCCCGUCACUGUGUCGACAGCCUGGCCUCCUGUCCUCCUGACACAGGGGCGUGUCCAAGUGUAGGGUGCCAAUCGGGGUGGGCAGGAACUGACUGUACAGCAUGGGUUUUACUUACGGAGACAACUGUAGAAAGUACUGCAACUCCCGUCACUGUGUCGACAACCUGGCUUCCUGUCCUCCUGACACAGGGGCGUGUUCAAGUGCAGGCUGCCUAACUGGAUGGGCAGGAACUGACUGU
rnacentral:misc_RNA from 1 species